UACGGAGGGAGCUAGCGUUGUUCGGAAUUACUGGGCGUAAAGCGCACGUAGGCGGCUUUGUAAGUUAGAGGUGAAAGCCCGGAGCUCAACUCCGGAACUGCCUUUAAGACUGCAUCGCUAGAAUCCGGGAGAGGUGAGUGGAAUUCCGAGUGUAGAGGUGAAAUUCGUAGAUAUUCGGAAGAACACCAGUGGCGAAGGCGGCUCACUGGACCGGAAUUGACGCUGAGGUU
rnacentral:rRNA from 1 species